rnacentral:rRNA from 1 species
UACAGAGGGGCAAGCGUUGUUCGGAAUUAUUGGCGUAAAGCGCGCGUAGGCGGUUUUUAAGUCGGAUGUGAAGCCUUGGCUCAACUGAGGAAGCGCAUACCGAAACUGAAAAGCUUGAGUACCAGAGAGGGUCGGUGGAAUUCCCGGUGUAGAGGUGAAAUUCGAUAGAUAUCGGGAGGAACACCGGGCGGCGAAGGCGGCGAACCUGGCUGGA